CUGUUUGUAAUCUAGACCUGAGGCCAGACUUUUCACGCCCAAGAUCCUGGAAAUUUCUGCUGAAACUCUUGGACCAUGACUCCUUUCUCUUCAAAGUCUCCACUAGAACUCAAGAAACAGAAUGAUGCAAGGAGGUCAGGACCCCUUUCCGCUCUGCUCUUCAAGACUCCUUUGACCGAAAGAGAGCACAUCUCAAGCAUGUCAAGUCUGGGAGAUGGACAUGGGUCUGGCUCCUCUUGGAUUCUGCCACAUUUUCAACACUAAACUCAUAUCAACAAAAGAAUUUUGAAGAGGAAUACAGGGAGUAAGACAAAUUGAUCUGAAACAAAAUAACACAUAUACCUGCGGAGAGGCUCUUUGGAGCCAGACUGUCUGAGUUCUAAUGGCAACUCAAAUACUCACGUGCUCUGUGAUUCUGGAAAAGCACAGUGAUACAAGCAAAUAGAGACCCCAACGUGUUGGAGAUCCAACAACCGGAAGAAGUCUCAUCGUUGAUUGAUACCGAGGAGAAAACAGGGGCCUCAUACAGGACUUAAAUGUUUCACACCAGAAAUAUGAGAAGUCACCUACUUGUAAUCCAUUGGUCAUUGCGAGUGAUAUGGUCUUGCCUAAUCAUUAGGUAACUGGGAAUAGUAACCUCACUUGCUGCUUUCCCAGAGCAAGAAAUAAGAUAUGAGUAUCAGAAGUACCUACC